AGGCCAAGUUCUUCGAGGGGAAAUUCUGUGCCCCCUACCCUAUGGCCCGUGACAUCUGGAUGAGCCCCUCUCUUCAGAAACCCUGCUGUCUGAAGUCCCACGUCCCCCUUGGAGCAAGUGGUCCCUGAAGGGAGCCAGGUAGGCCUCUCACCAGUAGGGCCCGGCCACCUGUAGAGAGAGGGUUGCCUGCAGACAUCAAGAGCCUCGGUUAGGGGUGGCCUCACAGCACCUGCACUGUCCCCAGCAGCCACUGUGGGGCGUCCAAGAGCUGCGCCUGGCACUGCCAGCAGCUGUGGGAGAGGCCCUAGACCAGAGGUUCACCUGUCCCCAGCCCACUUCCCUCCUGGCUGAAGGGGGCUGAACCACCUCCCUCAGACCCCUCGCCUCUUGCCCAUGGGGUAAAUUGUUCACUGAGCUUCCUGUGGGGUCCUCCAGGUUGGGGAAGGGCCAGAGGUCAGGCAGUACAAAGGGGUGGGGGGCAGGAGGACCUGGCACCUGAAGACACUGUCAGGCUCAGCCCCUUUGGUAGACCCAGGGCAGCUCCCAGGAGCAGCAGCUGUUGGGCAGGUGGUGCCGGUCAGGGUUCCUGUGCACGCCUGUGUCUGCUCAAGAAUGUGUGCCUGUUCCUGUCCCCACUCCGGGUCACCUCGACCAUCAAUACCACAUCAGGAUCACAAGCUGAGUGUGUACUGUUUCUCUGCCUCUUAACUGAGUGACCUUGGACAAAUUACUUAGCUGCCCUCUCCUGGCUGUUAAGUGGGGGCAACCGAAUUAAAGCCACCCCACGGGGCUGGGGUCAUCUGCAUUCAACGGACUAACACAUGCCGUGCUCAGAAUGAGUGUGGCACUCAGGAAGUCCUUGCCAGCCAGUGUGCA